CCUACGGGAGGCAGCAGUGAGGAAUAUUGGUCAAUGGACGAGAGUCUGAACCAGCCAAGUAGCGUGAAGGAUGACUGCCCUAUGGGUUGUAAACUUCUUUUAUAUGGGGAUAAACUGAUCCACGCGUGUCUUUUUGUAUGUACCAUAUGAAUAAGGAUCGGCUAACUCCGUGCCAGCAGCCGCGGUAAUACGGAGGAUUCGAGCGUUAUCCGGAUUUAUUGGGUUUAAAGGGUGCGUAGGUGGAUGGUUAAGUCAGUGGUGAAAGUUUGAGGCUCAACAUUAAAAUUGCAGUUGAUACUGGUAGUCUUGAGUACAGUAGAGGUGGGCGGAAUUCGUGGUGUAGCGGUGAAAUGCUUAGAUAUCACGAAGAACACCGAUUGCGAAGGCAGCUUACUAGACUGCAACUGACACUGAGGCACGAAAGUGUGGGGAUCAAACAGGAUUAGAUACCCGGGUAGUC
rnacentral:rRNA from 1 species